AAUGAAGUUUGAAAACAACAGUGUCCCUGUAACUGGACUGCAUAUAACAUACCAAGUGUAUGAGCUGAUUUUCCGUCUUUUUUUUGGCAUACUUUUCAUGGAUUUUUCAAGCAAAAGAGAAUGCUCGCAUCAGCUCCUCUAGGUGCAGAGUGAUGCCCAAUGUGACUCGUGGUGACAACACAGCACCUGAGAUUGAGAGAGCCAUUUGCCUGCACGUUUAGACAGACUGCAGACCUUGACCUGGCUGUGCCUCAGAUUUCUCUGUGUCAGUGCAGAAGCAAUGUGUAUGGCAAAUGUGGCAGUAUUCAAACUACUUGUAGAAAAUGCUUGUCUUGGCUAUCUCAAGGAUGAAGUCAGGAAUCGUCAACUCAUUCAUUUUGGUUUGAGACUUCCCUUGGGCACCUGGCAUAAUCCACAGCAUUAAAAGAAGCCCUCUUUGCUUUCUCACCCAUUUGACAUACCACUCCAAAUAUGUGGGAGAUGUACUGCAUGCCAAACUGCUGGCUCUGGGCCGGCCAGAACUCCAAGAAGCUUUCCACAUCGAUACGGAGGUCCUUCUUCUCCUCCUCAUCAAAGUUCUCCACGUGGUUUUGCAGGUCAUCAAUAGACACCAGGCAGUUCUCCGACAGCCCACUGCCUUCUCUCUCUAUCCUCCACAGGAUCCGGGCUGCCAGCCUGGCCAGGAGAGAUCCCAAGGUGCUAACACCAUGCAACACCAGAACCUACUCAGGUUCUCGUGCUCCUCCACCCAGCACAAGGACAGGGACUGAGGGGCCACCAAAAUUCAUUUAUCAGUGGGACACUGUGUGCAGCCAGGCCAUACAAGACAAGUUCAGCAUCAACUGGCUUAUGGCUGGUCCCCACCCAAGAGUUUUGAAGGGAAGGAAGACACAGGGGUUUCCCAUGGCAUGUAGUUCUUUUCUGGAGAAGUCAUACAGAACCCCAGCCCUGGACAGCUUCUUCCAUUUCUGUGGGGAAUCCUAUCAUUUUCUUACUAUGGAGCCAGGACAUGAAUCAAAAUCAGUAUAUACUGGAGCAUCCCUGCUUUUCCCACUGAAACUGUGAAAGGUGGCUUUUCUUCAUCUCAUUCUGCUGCUGUAGGAUUUUGGGUGUCUAGCACCAAACAAAAGCAGGAACACAACCCCCUCACACUGGGCGUUCUUCCAAGCCCCAGCCCAUGAGCUCAGGGAUGUUUGUGGCCUUCCCCAAACCAGUUCCCACCAUCACACAUCUAACUCAGGACACCCAGCUCUUUCUCACCAUCUCCAGAGGGAUUUCCUAUCCUCCCCCAUCAUUCCCCAGCCUGGUGGUGCAAACAGCCAGGCUGUGGGCCCAGUUCCUUGGGACCCACUCUCACCUGAUGUUCUCAGUGGGUGCCUUGCCAUGCUUCUUGAUGGCAGAGCACUCAUUUUUGUGGUUCAGCCAGGCAUCUCUCUGGCAGGUUCGGUCACAGUAGUAGGCGAACUUGCACUGGCCGCAGCGAUGGAGCUUCUCCUGCCGUUUGAAGCAGGUGUGGCAGACUACGUGUGUCAGGCU